ACGGCCUGCUUUCACAAGGAACGUGUGGUGGGCAGAGGCCGGUCCGUCGCUCGCUCGGAGAAGGAUCAGGGAGCUGAGGCCAGGCGGGAGGAUGGUGACCCGGUCCUGUUGUCGCGAGCGCAGUCGCGGACCCGGGCCGGCGGGAGACUUCCUUAGGGCGGUGCCUGCUCCGUGAGGAAAGCAUCGGUUCCAUUCCUGCACCCGGAGCUGCGACACCCAGCUAACUAAGACCUGUCCGUUCGCCAGUGCGGACUCCACCAGUCUUAGUGCUCCCGUUCCCACCCCACCUCCGACCUAGAUCCCUCUCUCACCCCAGCCUCAAUCCCACCCCUCUUCAGACCUGGGUCCCUUUUCCAAUUCUAGUCUUAACCAAUCCAUCACUGAAGACCCACACAUCCUCCCAGGACCUCCCCUCAGCCUUUCUAAGACAUGAAUCCUUCUCAUCACUUCAGAUCUUGAUCUCUGUCUCCCAUCUUGAUCCUCUCUCCACUCUCACACCAGACCUGGAACCCUCUUCUAUACCUAGGACCUAUCUCCAUCCUCACCUCAGACUUGACCCUUUCUUCCCACCCUGGCGUGGCGGAGAUUCUCACCUCCUAACUAGCUAAGCGCUGCCCUCACUGUCUUACCCUAACUCCUCCAGCUUCGCAGCCCUCAAAGGCUCUGCUCAAAGGAAAUGUGCAGGCAGGAGGGCAGGUGGCGGCUCGGCAGUGUGUUCCCGACUCCCGCGACUCCCCGGUACCGAGUCUCUCAGCCCUGCCCCGCAAGUCACUACAAGGCGUGUUCGGAUCAAAGUGAGCCACAAUGGGUUGAUUCUAUGCCUAAAAGCAUAAUAAGAGCUGUCAAGCUGUGGAAGGAAGAAGGCUCCUGGUAGAGGUAGAAAAGAACCCGGGGAGCUAAUGGGGGGGGGGGGGGGCGGGGCGGUAUCUGAAUAACACCGAAGUGCUACACGUUGGUUCUAAGGAACAUCUAAAAAUCUGGUGACAGAUCGAUAGAAAUAGCUAGAGAAGUUUCAUAUAACGGCACAGUGAAGUUAAACUCAGAGAGGAUGUAAGCCGGGAGGGAAUGCUAUUAUUUUUAUAACUUCAGAACACUCAUUGGCUUUUAAAACGAAAACGAAUGUAACCAAAACAAAAACUGCGUAAAAGAACCAUGGUUAGUCACCUUUGUUUACUCCAUGCGUUAGAUUUCCCAGCAAGCUCCCCACUUACUAGCUGUGUGAUCUUGCCCAAGUAACUUCAUUUAGAGCCUGGUUUGCUUAUCUGUUAAAUGAGGGUACUAA
rnacentral:lncRNA from 1 species